UAUCAGAAGUGCGAAUGCUGACAUAAGUAACGAUAAAGCGGGUGAAAAGCCCGCUCGCCGGAAGACCAAGGGUUCCUGUCCAACGUUAAUCGGGGCAGGGUGAGUCGACCCCUAAGGCGAGGCCGAAAGGCGUAGUCGAUGGGAAACGGGUUAAUAUUCCCGUACUUGGUGUUACUGCGAAGGGGGGACGGAGAAGGCUAUGUUGGCCGGGCGACGGUUGUCCCGGUUUAAGCGUGUAGGUGUGUGUUCCAGGUAAAUCCGGUUCACUUUAACACUGAGGCGUGAUGACGAGGCACCACGGUGCUGAAGCAACAAAUGCCCUGCUUCCAGGAAAAGCCUCUAAGCAUCAGGUAACAUCAAAUCGUACCCCAAACCGACACAGGUGGUCAGGUAGAGAAUACCAAGGCGCUUGAGAGAACUCGGGUGAAGGAACUAGGCAAAAUGGUGCCGUAACUUCGGGAGAAGGCACGCUGACACGUAGGUGAAGUGAUUUACUCAUGGAGCUGAAGUCAGUCGAAGAUACCAGCUGGCUGCAACUGUUUAUUAAAAACACAGCACUGUGCAAACACGAAAGUGGACGUAUACGGUGUGACGCCUGCCCGGUGCCGGAAGGUUAAUUGAUGGGGUCAGCGCAAGCGAAGCUCCUGAUCGAAGCCCCGGUAAACGGCGGCCGUAACUAUAACGGUCCUAAGGUAGCGAAAUUCCUUGUCGGGUAAGUUCCGACCUGCACGAAUGGCGUAAUGAUGGCCAGGCUGUCUCCACCCGAGACUCAGUGAAAUUGAACUCGCUGUGAAGAUGCAGUGUACCCGCGGCAAGACGGAAAGACCCCGUGAACCUUUACUAUAGCUUGACACUGAACAUUGAGCCUUGAUGUGUAGGAUAGGUGGGAGGCUUUGAAGCGUGGACGCCAGUCUGCGUGGAGCCGACCUUGAAAUACCACCCUUUAAUGUUUGAUGUUCUAACGUGGACCCGUAAUCCGGGUUGCGGACAGUGUCUGGUGGGUAGUUUGACUGGGGCGGUCUCCUCCUAAAGAGUAACGGAGGAGCACGAAGGUUGGCUAAUCCUGGUCGGACAUCAGGAGGUUAGUGCAAUGGCAUAAGCCAGCUUGACUGCGAGCGUGACGGCGCGAGCAGGUGCGAAAGCAGGUCAUAGUGAUCCGGUGGUUCUGAAUGGAAGGGCCAUCGCUCAACGGAUAAAAGGUACUCCGGGGAUAACAGGCUGAUACCGCCCAAGAGUUCAUAUCGACGGCGGUGUUUGGCACCUCGAUGUCGGCUCAUCACAUCCUGGGGCUGAAGUAGGUCCCAAGGGUAUGGCUGUUCGCCAUUUAAAGUGGUACGCGAGCUGGGUUUAGAACGUCGUGAGACAGUUCGGUCCCUAUCUGCCGUGGGCGCUGGAAGACUGAGGGGGGCUGCUCCUAGUACGAGAGGACCGGAGUGGACGCAUCACUGGUGUUCGGGUUGUCAUGCCAAUGGCACUGCCCGGUAGCUAAAUGCGGAAAAGAUAAGUGCUGAAAGCAUCUAAGCACGAAACUUGCCCCGAGAUGAGUCUUCCCUGAGACCUUGAGUCUCCUGAAGGAACGUUAAAGACGAUGACGUUGAUAGGCCGGGUGUGUAAGCGCAGCGAUGCGUUGAGCUAAC
rnacentral:rRNA from 1 species